AGCUGGGGAAGUGAGGGUCUGUCUGGGGGAGGGGAAGAGGGGCUGGAGACCGCCUCGGAGAAAAUUAAAUUGCACUUGAGGGCAAAUUCUAUUAGGGAAUAGAGCCUGUCUCUCAGCAGCCUGCGUCCAUUUAGGUGAUUAGCUAGGCCCAGCACCUCCACCCCAGAGCCUGGGAGCUCUGUCCCUCGCCCUCGGGAGCCAGGCCAGUGGCCUCCGGGGGCCCAGCCACCCCUGCUCCCCAGCUCACCCUGGGAGGACCCUUCCCUCACCACUCACAGCCCCCAGGCUCUUUAAGUGGGUGCACCUGGCUGUUCUAGAACACAGGCCAAAAACAAGGACAGGCAAGGCCAGGGAGGACAGAGCUGGGAUUGGACUUUUUUAGGCCUGGGCGGGGCUGGGAGAGGUCAGAGGUCAGAUGGCUAGAGGAUGAGGAGGGAGAGGAAGGGAGAAGAGAAGGGGAUCCUGUGAGUGAAAGGGCAGGAAUAAAAGUGAGGAAUGGACAGGCGGCGGGGUUUGAAUGGGCAGAAUCUGGCACCAGGGAGGAGAUACAGAGAAAUACAAGUGACAGAUAUGUCCACUGAUACAUGAUACAUUCAUGGACUAGUAAAUGUUUCUGGCUGUAAGAUGAUUUCGUUUGCUUAACAAAAGCACCUGGAAUGUAUCACGAGGAGAGCCAGUACACCGUUCCCUGAACACGGAGAAGCACCAGUGCACGCGACGUCGAGUUCUGAGAACACCAGUGAAUGGCGCAUCGUCCCCGACCAUGGCCCGGGUUAGAAUAGUGAAUGUGACCCUCCUCUUGCAGACUCAGAUAUCUAAGGCUCCCCCGAGGGCCCUGGGGACACAGAAUCGCAGCCCCAAGUGAGCUUGACUUUUACACCAAGGGUUAAA